UCUUAAAAUUUAAAAAAAAGAUUUUUGUAGAAAAAGUGAAUUAUCUCUUGAGAUUCAGCGUGGAAAAUUACAUUAAUACACCAUAUUUUAAAAAUUUUCACUAGACUUUAAAAGUUCCACAGGUGCAACCAAACAG